AUUCAAUGAAAAAUUGGGUAGAAAUUUUGACAGAGCAUGUUGUGAUACAUUUGAUUUUAGGGAGCAAAAUUUAAAAAAAAAAAUUGCACAGUACAAAGUUUGCUGUAAGCUAUGCCACCCGGAUCAUGAACAAGCCACUAUUGGAGACAAUGAGUAGAAAUUCUGCAGCUCCAGAACCCUAGGAGGGAACUCAGACGAGAAAAUCGACACACGCGUUUUGCUUAUUUCCAAAUGCAAGGUACCUUAAUAGCAAUUUUAGAAGCUUUUGUCUUCAAUUUCUCACCUUCUGAAAGAUGGCAACAGCUAGAAGUCUCUGAUUUGGACUUUGUUGAAGUGAUUUUUUUACCUCUUUUUGUGGUGGAGAUGGCAAAAAUAAAAAAUCUCAAACACAUCAUCAAUCAAGAUGAUUUGUGGGAAGUCUGCUUCUACUGCCAAGAAUUUCACCUCCCUUUUCAUUCUCCAGUGACCAUAUAGAGGGCUAGCGUUAUUUCAGCUCUGCGCUACCCUUUUAGCUAAAGAGUGAAGAGAAUUUGUUUGGUAAGAUUGGUAAAGACGUGGAUCAUCUUGCAAAAUUAAUGAAUUUUUUUAUUAUUGUUAGAAGAC
rnacentral:misc_RNA from 1 species